rnacentral:tRNA from 1 species
GGGAGUGUGGCUCACUGGCAAGAGCCCGGGGUUGGGAGUCGGGGGUCACGGGUUCGAAUCCCGGCUCUGCCA